GUACACACGGAUAACAUACCGAAAGGUAUGCUAAUACGGGAUAACAUAUUUGAGAGGCAUCUCUUAAAUAUCAAAGGUGAGCCAGUACAGGAUGGACCCGCGUCUGAUUAGCUAGUUGGUAAGGUAACGGCUUACCAAGGCGACGAUCAGUAGCCGACCUGAGCGGGUGAUCGGCCACAUUGGAACUGAGACACGGUCCAAACUCCUACGGGAGGCAGCAGUGGGGAAUAUUGCACAAUGGGCGAAAGCCUGAUGCAGCAACGCCGCGUGAGUGAUGAAGGCCUUCGGGUCGUAAAACUCUGUCCUCAAGGAAGAUAAUGACGGUACUU
rnacentral:rRNA from 1 species